rnacentral:lncRNA from 1 species
GCCGCGCAGGCUCGGCGUUGGCCUCCGCGGCCCGUGCGAGUGCGCCCUUCUCGGGUCCCCUAGGUCGCGGGGCAGCCGGGGCGGAAGGGGCUUGUUCAUUAUUUUGAGAGUUUGUUGUGAACGUCAUAACCUUUCGUCCUUAAAUAUUGCCGAUACUUGACCUACGCAAGAGACAAUGUCAUGUGAUUCAGCCUAAUAUCUCAGAGGAUGCAGCAUUCAAGGUUCUAUCUUGGAAGCAGAGACUGUGCCCUCACCAGAUGCUGAACCUGCUGAGCACCCUGAUCUUCCACUUCACCUUCAUCAGAACUGGACGCGCAUGAAAUUUGGUGCCGUGACUCGGAUCGGCGGACCUCCCUUAGGAGAUCAAUCCCCUGUCCUCCUGCUCUUUGCUCCAUGAGAAAGAUCCACCUACGACCUAAGGUCCUCAGACCAACCAGCCCAAGAAACAUCUCACCAAUUUCAAAUCCGAAAUCCUUCAUCUAAUCUGGCAAACACAUGUGGCAGGUUUUUCUCACCGCAUAAAAUAUGUUAUAGAGUAGUCCAUCUAUUUCUCUUCCAUGGAAGAGUUCAUCUGGUAGAUUGGACUACCACUUUUCCUUCAGGUCCCGAGUUCUCAUCCCGCAUCCAGGAAGAAUGAGGUUAUGUGGACACCUGGAGGGUGAGCGAGGCUGAGAAAAGCUUUAUUGGGCAACCAGACAGCUCUCAGAAGAGAGGUGACCUGAAGCAGGAUGAGAGACGUUGAGCUCCAAACUCAGACUAAGAAACUAUAAGAAAUAUGCUUCAAUGAAGAAGCUGUUCAAAAAUGAGUAAGAUUGUUUCCUUGAGGCAAGAAAGAAAUGCAGAAGUCUUGACAAACAAAAGAAGAGAUUGCCUUAGGGAAGGGGACUACAGUGAACACUGAGAACUUCUUCCCACGCUAAGACAAUCUUUACAGAGCAAGACUCCGUCUCAAAAAAAAAAAAAAAA